rnacentral:ncRNA from 2 species
AGAGGUAGUGGGUUGCAUAGU